CCGCCCGUAGUUCAAUGGAUAGAACACCGGACUUCUAAGCCGGUUAUGUAAGUUCGAUUCUUACCGGGCGGA
rfam:Candidatus Yanofskybacteria bacterium RIFCSPLOWO2_01_FTLL_49_17 rifcsplowo2_01_scaffold_2084, whole genome shotgun sequence.